UAUUAUAUACAUUGCGUUAAUAUUCUCUAGUAUGGUUUUUUAAGGGGUUUGCCUACGAGUAUGGUUUUAUACCUACAUUUUAUAUUAAUAUUUUGAAUUUUACGUCCAGUCUUUCUAAAAUUUUUAGAAAUUGAUAUCCAAAGUUUUAACUUGUUUUCAGUUUAGAAAUAGAAGUAAGGUAAAUUUCUAUUUCUUCAGCCUUUUUUUUUUUUUUUAAAAUAUGGACCUAUUGGUUCUAAACUUUUAACAUCGAAUCAACGAUAAAAAUUAGAGCGCAUGGAAACUUAUUAG
rnacentral:lncRNA from 1 species